rnacentral:rRNA from 1 species
GAAUAUUGGACCACGGGGGGAACCCCGAUCCAGCCAUGCCGCGUGUGUGAAGAAGGCCUUUUGGUUGUAAAGCACUUUAAGCGAGGAGGAGGAGCUCUGGGUUAAUACCCAAGAUGCCUGGACGUUACUCGCAGAAUAAGCACCGGCUAACUCCGUGCCCGCAGCCGCGGUGAUACAGAGGGUGCAAGCGUGAAUCGGAGUUACUGGGCGUAAAGCGCGCGUAGGGGGCCAAUUAAGUCAAAUGUGAAAGCCCCGAGCUUAACUUGGGAAUUGCAUUCGAUACUGGUUGGCUAGAGUAUGGGAGAGGGUGGUAGAAUUCCAGGUGUAGCGGUGAAAUGCGCAGAGAUCUGGAGGAAUACCGAUGGCGAAGGCAGCCAUCUGGGCUAAUACUGACACUGAGGUGCGAAAGCGUGGGGAGCAAACA